rnacentral:rRNA from 1 species
CCCUCCCUCUUUCCUCCUGCCUAACACAUGCAAGUCGAACGAGACCUUCGGGUCUAGUGGCGCACGGGUGCGUAACGCGUGGGAACCUGCCCUUAGGUUCGGAAUAACUCCCCGAAAGGGGUGCUAAUACCGGAUAAUGUCUUCGGACCAAAGAUUUAUCGCCUUUGGAUGGGCCCGCGUUGGAUUAGCUAGUUGGUAGGGUAAAAGCCUACCAAGGCGACGAUCCAUAGCUGGUCUGAGAGGAUGAUCAGCCACACUGGGACUGAGACACGGCCCAGACUCCUACGGGAGGCAGCAGUGGGGAAUAUUGGACAAUGGGCGAAAGCCUGAUCCAGCAAUGCCGCGUGAGUGAUGAAGGCCUUAGGGUUGUAAAGCUCUUUUAACCGGGAUGAUAAUGACAGUACCGGGAGAAUAAGCUCCGGCUAACUCCGUG